rnacentral:rRNA from 1 species
AACGAACGCUGGCGGCAUGCCUAACACAUGCAAGUCGAACGAGACCUUCGGGUCUAGUGGCGCACGGGUGCGUAACGCGUGGGAACCUGCCCUUAGGUUCGGAAUAACUCCCCGAAAGGGGUGCUAAUACCGGAUAAUGUCUUCGGACCAAAGAUUUAUCGCCUUUGGAUGGGCCCGCGUUGGAUUAGCUAGUUGGUAGGGUAAAAGCCUACCAAGGCGACGAUCCAUAGCUGGUCUGAGAGGAUGAUCAGCCACACUUGGACUGCGACACGGCCCAGACUCCUACGGGAGGCAGCAGUGGGGUAUAUUGUACAAUGGGCGAAAGCCUGAUCCAGCAAUGCCGCGUGAGUGAUGAAUGCCUUAGGGUUGUAAAGCUCUUUUACCCGGGAUGAUAAUGACAGUACCGGGAGAAUAAGCUCCGGCUAACUCCGUG